UCGUUGAAAUAUCAACAAACAACUACUGACUCUUAAUCAGGGUGUCCAGGGUUCGAACCCCUGAUGACGCACCA
rnacentral:tRNA from 1 species